rfam:Ipomoea nil DNA, scaffold: scaffold1993, cultivar: Tokyo-kokei standard.
AAUUGAUGGUGUAGACAUUGGGUCAAAAGCAAUUUAAAACGAUCCCAUGCCUCAUGAAACAAUUCACCCUUUCUUUGAGUAAAAGUGCAUAUUUUACUCCUAUAGUC